rnacentral:lncRNA from 1 species
GAAUAAGCAAUAUUUCCUGCAAAUCAUGGUUUUCUAAAGCUCUAAUUUGCAUACUGAUCAUGGGUUUCUAAACAUAUUAGAAGUCUUUGCUACUCAUGAUUAUUCCUAGAUCAUCAAAUCGGUUGUGUUUGUGGGAAAUUGGAAGCUAAUCAACAUCUCUAUCUCUAACUUCCCCGUCAACGCUUCAUCACACAAUUGCCUCAUUUAUCGUUGAUCUAGGUCUAGCUGUCGUCUUCUCUACCUACCUUUCCUGAUUCUAACUUAACAACUCUAAUGGAAGAGUUGAUGGCAGCUGACAAGUACACCCAUUUGGCAGCUAUUCGAUUUGUUUCUUUAAAAUGCUUAAUGAAGAAGUGUGGAAGCAUUGAAACUUGAAGGACCUCUCUCUAGUGCUAUUAACCACCUCAUCUUCAUCUUGUGAUCAUCCCUAGCCUUGAGCUAGUAGUAAGAUCAUCUAAACUCCAUUUUCAUCUUAUUUAGUUGGUUAAAGAAUGAUAUAAGUAACUAAUCUUGAAGAACACCAUGAAUGUUGAACAUGAAACUUAAAACAUAGGAUUAAAAAUCAUAAGAAAUCAUGUUGUUAAGUGUUAUUAUGCUUCUUGAUGAUUGAUUAUUUGUGUUUAUGAUGUUGAUCAUAAUAAGAACCUUGCUAGAUGAUGAUUAAACACAUGAUCUAGCAAGUACAAGGAUAGAUCUUGAGAAAAUCAUAAUGGUCAUCCUUUAUGUAAAUAUGAACUUGAAAAAUAAAGUUAUUUUUAUGUAUGAUGAAGUAUGAAACAUGUUAUGAAUCUUGUAAAUGGGUGAUUACAAAACUAGUUUUCUCAAGAAACUAAGUUAAAUUACAAGAUUUACAUAAACUUGGUUCUUAAAGAAACCAAUCACAUUUUUAGUGGUUAAUCAAGUGUAUAAACAUGUAUUUAACAAGAAAAAUGCAAGAAGAAAUAUUUUUAGAAAAAUAUUUUACAAGUUGUAAAGAUCUAAAUUCUUCAAAAAAUGAUGUUUUUAAAUAAACAACCACACUUUAAAGGGUAACUAAGUUUACUAAACACACUAGUAAGUUACUACAAUUUUUUGUAAAUUUUCAAGUUCAUGACAUAGUGUAAAUUUCAUAUUUUUGACAUAUGGUAAGUGUUGAAUGAUUUGUUGAUGAUUGGUGAUGAUUUUACAAAAGAAAAUGAUAUGCUUGAAAGCAUGGAAACCUUCAUUUUCAGAAGAAACUAUGACAAAAUUUUCUAAAAAUACCAACACUUAGAAAAUAUUUUCUAAACAAGUGUAUCUUUGAUAUAUAAAAUUACAUUUAUUUAACCCGUACAGUAUACAAGGUUCAUAAAGAUAUAAGUUUUUAUUAUUUAAUAUAUAAAAUUACAUUUAUUCAACCCGUGUAAUACACGGGGUUCUAACCUAUUUAACAUAUAUAUAAUUUAAUCAAAGUUCUCUAA